UGACCUCGGAUCAGGUACGGAUACCCG
rnacentral:rRNA from 1 species